AGGAGAAAACAGAAAUCAUGUGAGAGACACAGUCCUGUUGUUUACUACAAAAUAGGAGGUCAGGGGUGUGAGUGAGGACCGCAGCCAGAAGAACCUGUGUGGUGGACCGGAAGGAGCAAAUGCAAGGAGGAAUGUGCCCAGACAAAGGAAUGCAGAGAAAACAAGAAUGAGAGAAGCUCUACUGACGUCAAUGGAAAUUCCAGAUGCAGAAUGAAGACAGAAUAUAGCCUAUUGUCAUUUUUGGGUAUAACAAAAUAUAAAACAGGCAUUUCUAAAAUAUUUCUAGUUGCAGUGGUUGCAAAACACAUCAUACUUGAUAAGCUUUCACAAACACGAAGCUAGAAGUCGCCCAAACUGAUAAACAGAAUUCAAUGCUAAAUAAUAUGACUGUGUACUUUUAAGGUUUUAAAAUCAUUGGCUGUAUAUCUCUCCCUCACAAAUGGCAGCCAAGAAUUGUCAGAUGAAAGAUGCAUGCUAUCCUGGCUAAUGAUGUCACCAGUUUACU